rnacentral:rRNA from 1 species
UACGAAGGGGGCUAGCGUUGUUCGGAAUUACUGGGCGUAAAGGGCGCGUAGGCGGGUCUUUAAGUCAGGGGUGAAAUCCUGGAGCUCAACUCCAGAACUGCCUUUGAUACUGGCGACCUUGAGUCCGGGAGAGGUGAGUGGAACUGCGAGUGUAGAGGUGAAAUUCGUAGAUAUUCGCAAGAACACCAGUGGCGAAGGCGGCUCACUGGCCCGGUACUGACGCUGAGGUGCGAAAGCGUGGGGAGCAAACAGG